rnacentral:rRNA from 1 species
CAGCAGCCGCGGUAAUACGGAGGGUGCAAGCGUUAAUCGGAAUUACUGGGCGUAAAGCGCACGCAGGCGGUUUGUUAAGUCAGAUGUGAAAUCCCCGAGCUUAACUUGGGAACUGCAUUUGAAACUGGCAAGCUAGAGUCUUGUAGAGGGGGGUAGAAUUCCAGGUGUAGCGGUGAAAUGCGUAGAGAUCUGGAGGAAUGCCGGUGGCGAAGGCGGCCCCCUGGACAAAGACUGACGCUCAGGUGCGAAAGCGUGGGGAGCAAACAGGAUUAGAUACCCGCGUAGUCCCUGUCUCUUAUAC